GAUCCUGGCUCAGGAUGAACGCUAGCUACAGGCUUAACACAUGCAAGUCGAGGGGCAUCAGUUUGGUUUGCUUGCAAACCAAAGCUGGCGACCGGCGCACGGGUGAGUAACACGUAUCCAACCUGCCUCAUACUCGGUGGAUAGUCCUUUACGAAAGAAAGUAUUAAUAUCCGAUAGCAUAUUACUUUCCCGCAGUUGGGUUUUAUUAAUUAAAAGUAAAAUUCGGUAUGAGAGUGGGGAUGUCGUUCCAUUUAGUUUUGGGG
rnacentral:rRNA from 1 species